GAAAUGGCGUCCUGCUGCCACUGAGGAUGGCAAGGGAGCCCAUGGGUCAAGGGUUGGGGAGAUGGUUCUGCAGUGAAGACAGCUUGCUGCCCUUGCAGAGGAGCUGGAUUUGAUUUCCUGAAAUCACAUGGCAGUCCAAGGCCAUCUCUGACUCCUGUUUUGGUAGAAUCUAAUGCCUUCUUCUCUUCAGGUCUCCACAGGCUUCAUAAACAUCAUUGUAUAUUUCAG
rnacentral:lncRNA from 1 species